GAAGUGUAGUUUCAAAUUCAACAGUUUGAAUCUGUAAGAGAACGAUAGACUUGGUUAAUCAAUUAUUUAAAUUUAAUUUGAUGUGACAUCAUCUUCAAUCAAAUACACGCACACACACACACGCAUGCACUCACACAAAGUUACAAACAUAUCAACACAAGAAUUUUUUAUUAACGUGCAGAAAUUUGUUGAACAUUAUUUAUACGUCGUAAUGAAGAUGAAAGAAGGAUAUAAUAAAUAUGAUCGGUCGCGUGAUGUGUCCCAAAAAAAAAUACUAAGAUUUUCUAGUUUGCUUCUUUAUUAGAGAACUCUCGAGAAAAAAAAUUUGUCACAAUUAACAACGAAAUAUGUCGACGCCAUUUACUUUGUUUAUACCAGCAUAGGAAAGUUUAUACACUUACGAUAGUGUUUAAGAAAUAAAUUGAUAAUUUUUUGACGCGAUAAACGUCAAUUUAGAUGAAAUUUAUAAUUUUCAAUGAUUCCAUUGUGAAAGGAGCGUGUUCAAGGAAAAAAAGAAGGAUCCUAUAAACCGGCAUGGCGAAAGACCAAAGGAUAUAUCCUUUAUAUUAAUCUAGUAGUUAAGAUAAAUGAAAGAUUAAAAGUACUUACGUUAAAUUAGCGAGAAUCAUCAUGGCCCCAAAGAAACACAAAACACACGGGCUUUCAGAGUAGGUGACGUAGGAUUCGAAAACGGAAAUGAGCACUUGACCGCGCUCC